CGACCUCGAGUGGAGGGAGAUGACCCGCCUAAUUUAAGCAUAUUAAUCAGCGGAGGAAAAGAAACCAACCGGGAUUCCCUGAGUAAGUGCGACCGAAACGGGAAGAGCCCAGCGCAAAGCCUCGCGUCCCCUUCGCGGGGGGCACGAGGGGUGCUGCGUUCGGGAGAGGUCCUGCACGCGCUCCCGAGCCGCCUAAGUUGUUCAUGAAUGACUCUCAUACCCAGGGAGGGUGUCAGGCCCGUGUGGCGGAAAGGGACUUCCUCCUCCUCGUUCGCGGGGAGGGGGGUUUCGGGAGUGCGGAACGGGCCUCUCCUUAGAGUCGGGUUGCCUGAAACCGCAACCUAAAGCAGGUGGUAAACUCCAUCUAAGGCUAAAUAUGACCACGAGACCGAUAGCGAACAAGUACCGUGAGGGAAAGUUGAAACAGAACCCUGUAGAGAGAGUUCAAGAGAACGUGAAACCGUUAAGAGGCUAAACGGGCGGAGAUUCGAAGAUCGAACUGGGGGGAUUCAGUUCGUCGGCCUGCCGGGAGACGGCAGCGGGCGUGACGACUUCCCGUUCCGGAGGCCUUCUGGGCCGAAGGAGCCAACACGGGGAGCGGCCCCCGCCGCCUGCCCGGCGCCGGCGGGCGAUCUUCCCCCCGCAGUAGGUCGCCGCGACGCGUUGGGGAACGGGCGUCUGAGGCCCGGGUCCUGGUAGGAACCGGCGGCGCGUUCGUCCUCCGCUCACUCGUUGGGCGGGGGGCGUUUUCCAGCGCGCCCGUCCGGGGAUCCCCCGGUGCCCUCGUCUUGCCCCCCCGACGGUCACUCCUCCGGGGCCGGCCGGGAACGGGGGACUGGUCCGAGGCCGCGGUCGAGCCUAAUUCGCUGGCUCCCGCGCUUCCCUGUCCCUCUCCCGCGUGGCCUUCGCGGCGUGCAAAGAGUCGGUACUCCUCCCGACCCGUCUUGAAACACGGACCAAGGAGUCCAACAUGUAUGCGAGUCAAUGGGCGCGCUAAACCCACGGGCGCAAUGAAAGUGAUCGGGCCGAUCCCACGGAGCAGCGGGCGGCCGCGCGCACCCGGACGGAGUGACUGACUUUCCUCCCCGGGACGGCGCGGGUUCCCUCCCGCUCCCGCAGGCCCCGCGCGCCGCCCUUCGCGGGGCGGCGGCGGGGGGGGGCGCAGGUCCGGGACUCGCCAUGACGAACGGUCGUCGCCCGUCUCGGCGGGGGGCGGCCGGAUGUGUCGGCGGGUACCCAGAGCAUAAAUGUUGGGACCCGAAAGAUAGUGAACUAUGCUUGGCCAGGAUGAAGCCAGGGGAAACCCUGGUGGAGGUCCGAAGCGUUUCUGACGUGCAAAUCGAUCGCCAGAGCUGAGUAUAGGGGCGAAAGACCAAUCGAACUAUCUAGUAGCUGGUUCCCUCCGAAGUUUCCCUCAGGAUAGCUGGCGCUCGCUUCGAACGAGUUCCAUCCGGUAAAGCGAAUGACUAGGGGUGUUGGGGACGAAAUGUCCUCAGCCCAUUCUCAAACUUUAAAUGGGUGAGGUGCCGGGCUUGCUUCGCUGAAGCCCCGGACGAGAAUCGGAGUGCCUAGUGGGCCAAUUUUGGUAAGCAGAACUGGCGCUGUGGGAUGAACCAAACGUCGAGUUAAGGGGCCUAAAUGGAUGCUAAUUCCGAUCCCAUGGAAGGGAGUUGCUUGCUAUAGACAGCAGGACGGUGGCCAUGGAAGUUGGAAUCCGCUAAGGAGUGUGUAACAACUCACCUGCCGAAGCAAGUAACCCCGAAAAUGGCAUGGCGCUCAAGCAUCCUCCCGAUACUCGACCGCCGGGCGCACUAUAGGCUGCGUCGAGGAGGUCUCGAGGCCCCGGCGAGUAGGAGGGCGCGGUGGUGAGCGUAGAAGGAUACGGCGCGAGCCGGUCUGGAGCCGCCACUGGUGCGGAUCUUGGUGGUAGUAGCAAAUGCUCGAGCAAGCCGAACCCUCGUUGACCGAAGCGGAGGAGGGUUCCCCGCCAACAUCGCUUGGUCGUGGAUAAGUCGGCCCUUAGCCCGAGGAUAGCUUCCCUCCGAUCCCCUGGAAAACGCCACAAAACAGUCGAGCUCUUGUUUUUGACUCCCUGUUUUGGAAAGGGGAAGAAGGCGGCACGAGCCGAGCAGCAGCCGGCGGCGAAGGCGAAGGCGAAGGUGGCGGCGGCGGCGGGGGGUUCCCUCCCUCCCUCCCUCCCGCCCUCCCUCCCUCUCGCUGCUGGCUCAAGCGCUUGUCGGCGCCGGCUGUGCUUAAUCGUCAUCAUCAUCAUCAUGAUGGUGAUGAUGAUAGAGCGGCCGGCGUCUUGGCCCCCGGCCACGCCAAUCCCCCGCCUCAGCAAUUUGUCUGGAUCCAAAACGACGAGAAAAAAGAACUUCAUGCAAAGAAAAACGGUCCAGUCAGAUUUCGGGCUAAAGGGAAUACGGUUAAAAUCCCGUGACCUGCCCCGUGGGAAGACAGACCCGUGCGUGGGAAACUAUGGUUUUAGUGCGGGUGGCCG